rnacentral:rRNA from 1 species
AUACGGAGGGUGCGAGCGUUGUUCGGAAUUAUUGGGCGUAAAGAGCAUGUAGGCGGUCUGUUAAGUCUGGUGUGAAAGCCCGGGGCUCAACCCCGGAAGUGCAUUGGAUACUGGCAGACUUGAGUAUGGGAGAGGAAAGCGGAAUUCCGAGUGUAGGAGUGAAAUCCGUAGAUAUUCGGAGGAACACCAGUGGCGAAGGCGGCUUUCUGGACCAAUACUGACGCUGAGAUGCGAAAGCGUGGGGAGCGAACAGGAUUAGAUACCCUAGUAGUCC